GCCCUUAGAGUUUGAUCCUGGCUCAGAUUGAACGCUGGCGGCAUGCCUUACACAUGCAAGUCGAACGGUAACAGGUCUUCGGAUGCUGACGAGUGGCGAACGGGUGAGUAAUACAUCGGAACGUGCCCGAUCGUGGGGGAUAACGAGGCGAAAGCUUUGCUAAUACCGCAUACGAUCUACGGAUGAAAGCGGGGGAUCUUCGGACCUCGCGCGGACGGAGCGGCCGAUGGCAGAUUAGGUAGUUGGUGGGAUAAAAGCUUACCAAGCCGACGAUCUGUAGCUGGUCUGAGAGGAUGAUCAGCCACACUGGGACUGAGACACGGCCCAGACUCCUACGGGAGGCAGCAGUGGGGAAUUUUGGACAAUGGGCGAAAGCCUGAUCCAGCCAUGCCGCGUGCAGGAUGAAGGCCUUCGGGUUGUAAACUGCUUUUGUACGGAACGAAAAGCCUCUUUCUAAUAAAGAGGGGUCAUGACGGUACCGUAAGAAUAAGCACCGGCUAACUACGUGCCAGCAGCCGCGGUAAUACGUAGGGUGCAAGCGUUAAUCGGAAUUACUGGGCGUAAAGCGUGCGCAGGCGGUUUUGUAAGACA
rnacentral:rRNA from 1 species